UACCGGGUAGUCCAGCCGUAACCAUGGGCGCUAGACGUCGUCCGUAAGGGCGGUGUCUCAGCUAACGCGUUAAGCGCCCCGCCUGGGGAGUACGGGCGCAAGCCUGAAACUCAAAGGAAUUGGCGGGGGCCCGCACAACCGGUGGAGCGUCUGGUUCAAUUCGAUGCUAACCGAAAAACCUUACCCGGGCUUGACAUGAUGGGAAACCUCUGCGAAAGCGGAGGGUGCCGUCCUCUGGACGGAAUCCCAUCACAGGUGGUGCAUGGCCGUCGUCAGCUCGUGUCGUGAGAUGUUGGGUUAAGUCCCGCAACGAGCGCAACCCCUGCCCUUAGUUGCCACUCUACGGAGGGCACUCUAAGGGGACUGCCGGCGAUAAGCCGGAGGAAGGUGGGGAUGACGUCAGGUCAGUAUGCCCUUUAUGCCCGGGGCGACACAGGCGCUACAGUGGCCGGGACAAUGGGAAGCGACCCAGAAAUGGGGAGCAAAUCCUCAAACCCGGUCAUGGUGCAGAUUGAGGGCUGAAACUCGCCCUCAUGAAGCCGGAAUCGGUAGUAAUGGCGGAUCAGCUAGGCCGCCGUGAAUACGUUCUCGGGCCUUGCACACACCGCCCGU
rnacentral:rRNA from 1 species